AGCGAACGCUGGCGGCAGGCCUAACACAUGCAAGUCGAACGAACCUUUCGGGGUUAGUGGCGGACGGGUGAGUAACACGUGGGAACGUUCCUUUAGGUUCGGAAUAACUCAGGGAAACUUGUGCUAAUACCGAAUGUGCCCUUCGGGGGAAAGAUUUAUCGCCUUUAGAGCGGCCCGCGUCUGAUUAGCUAGUUGGUUGAGGUAAUGGCUCACCAAGGCGACGAUCAGUAGCUGGUCUGAGAGGAUGAUCAGACACAUUGGGAGUGAGACACGGCCCAAACUCAUACGGGAGGCAGCAGUGGGGAAUCUUGCGCAAUGGGCGAAAGCCUGACGCAGCCAUGCCGCGUGAAUGAUGAAGGUCUUAGGAGUGUAAAAUUCUUUCACCGGGGACGAUAAUGACGGUACCCGGAGAAGAAGCCCCGGCUAACUUCGUG
rnacentral:rRNA from 1 species